UCGGACGCUAAUUAGGAGGUAGCAAUAUUUCCUGGUUGGAGUGGCGCAAGGGUGCGUAACACGUGGGUAAUCUGCCGUGAAGCCUGGGAUAACUCGCUGAAAGGCGAGCUAAUACCGGAUGUGACUGUUAGGGAGCAUUUCCUGACAUUUGAAGCUGGGGACUGUAAAAGGCCUGGCGCUUGACGAUGAGCCCGCGGCCUAUCAGCUAGUUGGUGAGGUAACGGCUCACCAAGGCAAAGACGGGUAGCUGGUCUGAGAGGACGACCAGCCACACUGGAACUGAGACACGGUCCAGACACCUACGGGUGGCAGCAGUCGAGAAUUUUUCACAAUGGGCGCAAGCCUGAUGGAGCGACGCCGCGUGGGGGAUGAAGGGUUUCGAUCCGUAAACCCCUGUCAUUUGCGAACAACCUCAUACAAUAACACUGGAUGAGCUGAUUGUAGCGGAGAGGAAGGGACGGCUAACUCUGUGCCAGCAGCGCGGUAUACAGAGGUCCCAGCGUUGUUCGGAUUCACUGGGCGUAAAGGUGCGAAGUGGCCGAGAGUUUGUGUGAAGCUCGAGCUCACUCCGAAAGUCAUUGAAUACU
rnacentral:rRNA from 1 species